rnacentral:lncRNA from 1 species
CCUCACACCUGCUCAGCUGAGCCCGCUCCUGAAGACGUCGAGCAGGAAACCCAGCUAUUUUCCGAGUGGCAUCUUCUCUGCUCGCCUAGAUAAACCUAAAAAACAAGCAACUUCAAUGAAUGCAAACUAAGCUUUCCCGGGGAGAAACGGCGAGGCAGCUACAAUCAGUCUCUGAUUACACAAACAUACCUAGAGGCAGAAAGGAGGCGAACAGUCCUCGCUCCUUCCCCAGCAAACUAACUGGAGAAAACGGGCCCCGACCUUUCCCGAGCCCACCAGGACACACACCUAACAGGAAAAGCUCUUUCCCGCUCACUAAUGCCUGGGAAGUGUGUGGUCCCUCUUAACUGCUGCCAGCUGAGGAGGAGAAGGCCACGUUUUGCUUAGGUUGUGUCAGCAUCAUCGCUUACCAUCCUGGUCAUCUUCCAUGGGAAGGAGGAAGGGGAAAUUAGAUUCCUUGAGAGAAGGUGAGUUAUCCCCUUUUAUGAUUCUACUAUGGAAAUUCUUCUGAAGAUGUAAAAGGAG